UGUGUGUGUGUGUGUGUGUGUGUGUGUGUAAGAUACACACAGCGACGCACACACACACACAUAUA